AAAAAAAAAACCCGAAAGGGGUGCUAAUACCGGAUAAUGUCUUCGGACCAAAGAUUUAUCGCCUUUGGAUGGGCCCGCCUUGGAUUAGCUAGUUGGUAGGGUAAAAGCCUACCAAGGCGACUAUCCAUGGCUGUUCUGGGAGGAUGAUCAGCCACACUGGGACUGAGACACGGCCCAGGCUAUUAAGGGAGGCAGCAGUGGGGAAUAUUGGACAAUGUUGUUUUUUAAUGU
rnacentral:rRNA from 1 species